GAUGAACGCUAGCGACAGGCUUAACACAUGCAAGUCGAGGGGCAGCAUAGAAGUAGCAAUACUUUGGUGGCGACCGGCGCACGGGUGAGUAACGCGUAUGCAACCUACCUAUCAGAGGGGAAUAACCCGGCGAAAGUCGGACUAAUACCGCAUAAAACAGGGGCACCGCAUGGUGAUAUUUGUUAAAGAAAUUCGCUGAUAGAUGGGCAUGCGUUCCAUUAGGUAGUUGGUGAGGUAACGGCUCACCAAGCCGACGAUGGAUAGGGGAACUGAGAGGUUGGUCCCCCACACUGGUACUGAGACACGGACCAGACUCCUACGGGAGGCAGCAGUGAGGAAUAUUGGUCAAUGGGCGAGAGCCUGAACCAGCCAAGUCGCGUGAAGGAAGAAGGAUCUAUGGUUCGUAAACUUCUUUUGCAGGGGAAUAAAGUGCGGGACGUGUCCUGUUUUGUAUGUACCCUGAGAAUAAGGAUCGGCUAACUCCGUGCCAGCCGCCGCUGUAAAAC
rnacentral:rRNA from 1 species